CCACUGGUAUGACUAGUACGGCGAGUGAGCGGCAACAGCUCAAAUUUGAAAGCUGGCUCCGGCCCGCGUUGUAAUUUGCAGAGGAUGCUUCUGGCGAGGUGCCUUCCGAGUUCCCUGGAACGGGACGCCAUAGAGGGUGAGAGCCCCGUAUGGAUGGACACCAAACCUGUGUGAAGCUCCUUCAACGAGUCGAGUAGUUUGGGAAUGCUGCUCUAAAUGGGAGGUAAAUCUCUUCUAAAGCUAAAUACCGGCCAGAGACCGAUAGCGCACAAGUAGAGUGAUCGAAAGAUGAAAAGCACCUUGAAAAGGGGGUUAAACAGUACGUGAAAUUGUUGAAAGGGAAGCGCUUGUGACCAGACUUGCGCCGGGCAGCUCAUCAGGGGUUCUCCCCUGUGCACUCUGCCCGGCUCAGGCCAGCAUCGGUUCUCGUGGGAGGAUAAGAACGGUAGGAACGUGGCCCCCCUCCGGGGGGGUGUUAUAGCCUGCCGUACGAUACUCCCGUGGGGACCGAGGUUCGCGCUCCGCAAGGAUGCUGGCGUAAUGGUCAUCAGCGACCCGUCUUGACCC
rnacentral:rRNA from 1 species